rnacentral:tRNA from 1 species
CGACACUAGCUCAGUUGGUAGAGCGCAACCUUGCCAAGGUUGAGGUCACGAGUUCGAACCUCGUGUGUCG